rnacentral:rRNA from 1 species
UACGUAGGGUGCAAGCGUUAAUCGGAAUUACUGGGCGUAAAGCGUGCGCAGGCGGCUUUGCAAGACAGAUGUGAAAGCCCCGGGCUCAACCUGGGAAUUGCAUUCGAGACUGAAUAGCUAGGGUACGGUAGAGGGAAGCGGAAUUUCCGGUGUAGCGGUGAAAUGCGUAGAUAUCGGAAGGAACAUCAGUGGCGAAAGCGGCUUCCUGGACCAGUACCGACGUUCAGGCACGAAAGCGUGGGGAGCAAACAGG